rnacentral:tRNA from 1 species
GCUCCAGUAGUUUAUUCAAAACGCCGGCCUUGUAAGUCGGGGAUGGGAGUGCCCCUGGGGCU